ACACACACACACACACAACGCUCAGGAGCGGCGGCGGCCACCAGCCGCCCCAUCACAUGCGAGCGAAGGGGAGAUUACGGUGGGGCUGAAGGAGCAAUUCCUUGGCUCCCUCCUCCUGCAAUCCUCCAGCGCUCGCAGCACGGACGGACAGCGAGUGAACGAGCGAGGAUGGCUUCCCCCUUGCUUUGCCUUCUCCUGCCUCCUCCUCCACCAGCACCAGCUCCUUUCCCUCCUCCUCCUUCUCCAUCCCAGAGGAGAUGGUGAUUCGGAGUAAGGAAUACAGAGCAAGGGGGGGAAAUCAUCAGCGAGGGGCAAGAGAGAGAGGGGGGAGAGAAACACACACACACCCCCCUCCCGAACCAAAACAAACCCAUCUCUCCCUCUCCCUCUCUCGCCUCUGCCACCGCGGAUUGUCAACAGAUCAUUUGCAAAGGAAACCUGAGAGCAACCCCCUCUGGAAAGGCAGCAGGGGAUUCCGGAGCCUUUGUGCUUUCCCUCGCCAGUGUUUAUGCUGAGCGUGGUCUGUCUCAGGAAGGUAAGCGGGAAAGGGGAGGAGGGGGGUUCUUUUCUGCCUCAUUGUGGAGUCUGGAAAGAAAAGAAAGCGAAGAAAAGACUCGCUCGUGAAUCAUCCUCGCUCCCGGUAGUGGCAGAGGCGGUUGGAGACUGACAUAUGGCUCCAAGUGGACUCAGAGGGCAGGGGAGAUGCUUUUAAAAAAUAUUUGUAAGCGAGGGGGUGGGGUAGGGGGGCUCUCUCUUGGUUAAUGAGCAGAAAAAGUGGUGGUUGUGGGGGGUUUUGGAGGCGGGGAAGAGGGCGGCUGUUUCCAUGUACAGAAACGGGGUUGUUUUUUAUGAAUAACCCACAUGCCUCCUGAAUGACUGCUUGUGGAUGGACAGAUUGAAGCGAUUUUGUAACGUAAUGUGCACACUUGGACAAACUGUGGAGUGCAUGUUCAUUAUGCUUGAGCUGUCAAAAACAGGAGAGCAGCCCCUCGUAGAGGAUCAUACUGAAACACACAUUGCACUCCCCCCCCCCCAUGGCUUGACUGGAGUAACCUGAUGAUAGCCUGAAAAGCUUGAAUUUUAAAAAGACAGAUUGGCUGCUUCCUCUCUCCCCCCCCCCCCCCUUUAAACCAAGGUGGUUUUGAAAAAGUCAUAAAGGUGUUAGGUAUAUUCAAACACAUAGUUAUACAGUUGUGUAGUGGAGGUUUUGUGAGUUGGGGCUUUUUUUAGAGAGAGAGAGAAGAUGCACACUCACCUGUGCAGUGGGGCAUCUUUUAUAUAAACAAUAUCAAAGCUGUCAAGCAGCUUGAUAUAUUUAAACACUGGGUACAAGUAAGUCUGUGCAUACAGCUUAUGUACGUACUGUCCAUAUUUAUAGUACCUCCUGGACUUCAUUCAAAUUAAGUUACAUAAUGAUUAAGAUAAAAAUAAACAAUGCAUUUACAGUUUCUUGAAUAUUUUAACUUGCCACCCAAACUCCAGCUGCCACAUCAGUGCUGAAAUGAAUGAAUUUUGGCGGUUGCUUGUUUCCCCACCACCACUGAACAUUGCCAAAAGGCAGUUGGGUCACUUUGCAAACAAACAGUCAUCAAGCCCUUACCACUAAGAGAAACAGAUUUCAGUCAAUAAUCCUAUCCUGUAAUGCUGAAAAGCCGCCAGGGUCGGUUUAAAAGGAGGAGAAUAGCAGCAGAGCUGGGCAGGCGCCUUAAGGGUGAGACCUGCUGGAUACUCAAGAGAGCUUUGCUGCUAAAACAGGCAGACUUUGCUCAAGUUUGUCAGGCUCCUCUGACUUCCAGCUCAGCAUCACGCAAAGCAAGGGGAAAGGUCUGCCCUGAACUCCUGCUCAAAACAUGGCCCAAUCUCUUGACCCUAGUUUGUUGAUUGCUGACUUCAGAGACAGCAAAAUCAAACCACACAAUUAGCUAAUGAUGAUUGUAAGGUUGGUGUGAUUCUAACUCCAUGACUUUUUUAAAACUGACAAAUACGGAAAAGAUUUUUAUCAGAACAGUGAGGUGUGCAACCUGAGCAUAGCUGGGGGGUCACGGAGGGGCAGCUGCCCACCAAUCAAUAAAAAUAAAUCUAAAUACAUAGCAAACCAAGGUUCUGCACCCCUAACAAAAGGCCUGCCCCCCCAACAAAAAUCCUGGCUACACCCAUGGCAUACAGCCUAAACAUUAUUAUACCAAACGAAUCCAAUUUCUCCUUAAGCUGUUCUCUGCCUUCCUCAUGCUGUCGCUUGUUUUCAGCAGCCUUAUUCAAUGCACUAAGGGCACCAGUCUUCCUCUAUUUGAUGGGGGUUGUUCUUGUGUACAGUACAACCUGAACUUUCUUCUGCCUUAUUCUUCAAAAAGAAAGUUAAGUGUCUCACCAUCAACAUGAGGGGGGGAUGAUGAUGCUGUACAAGAGGGAUGUACCUCUAAGCAUCUCUCCAUUAGCUUAAGCAUUUUAAACAUCUUUUAGCUUGAUGGUGCGUUCAUGAUGCCUGUGCAUGCAUUUAUUUAUGUUUGCACUGUUUUUAAAAGUUUAAUUAACAUCUUGCACUUGGAAUUCAAAAGCAAGGAGGGAGAAACAGAUUUAAAGGGAUCUCUCCUUUGUUUCCAACUAUGAUUAAAUAGCUUGUGCUUCCUGGUGUGUUACUUAAUUUUCAUACAGAGUUUCUUAGAGUGCGUCCAUCCCUGGGGUAAUAAUAUCUUACAAACUUUUUUAGCCAGGAACUAUUCAACACUCUAUGUUUUCUUCAUUAGGAAAGAAUACUUUUAAAAUGUCUGUUGCGCUCGCCAUUACAUGAACCCAUUGCCUCAGACAGAGGUUGUAGUUCUCUUUUGGAUGUUAAGCUACAGAUACCUUGAGAGAUUUCUUAAUAAUGCAUUCCUUAUACCUAAUAACAUAGAAGAUGCUUUGGAUUAGGGACUCUACUAUUUUAACUUUUUAAAACAACACUAUGCUCAGCAGACAUGGCAAUGUCUCUAAUGCGUGUGCAUGCAUUAAAGCGUUGCGGUUUAUGUAUUGGUUAUUUCUUCCAAAUAUGAUGCUUGUGUUUGUGGUGUUUUGGCUUAGAAUCUACAUCACAUGGCAUCAACCCACAUCUUUCAGGUCUUGUCCUUGUCUUUGCCCUUGUCUUUAAAAGUCACAGAAUUGAAAAUAACCAGUUGAUUCAGAAAGCCAUAUAGAGGCAUUACUGGCUUGACUGAGUAGAACAUCUGCAGCUUCAAUGCUUUCAAAAUUUGAGUAGGAAAGAUCCACCAUAAUACUUCAAAAUUUGACUGUUAUCAAUCUCUUGUUCUCCCAUGUGGGUUUGGCAUUAUAGCAGAAUAAAUAUUAAUUCUUCAUGGCCAAUGACAUUUAUCCUUCUAGUAUGUGCUUGGCAUAGUGAGAUAACACCAUUAAAACUUGUUGCAUUUGUAGUGCAAAUUAUAGAAAACAUCUUAGCUUGUUGCAGUACUCUGAAUGGAAACAGUGUUCACUUUUGUUCUCGUUGCUGGUAUCUACAUCUGCUUUAUUGUAUGUGCUGUCUAUACAGGGCCUAAGAAUACUGUAAAAUAGUUUCUCAUGAAAAAAAUAAUAUUGGAUCAGUGUUAAGGGUUCUUAAAAAUAAUAUAGAGAAAUAUACAUCACUAUAUGUAUGUGAAUAGAUAUAUAAAGACCUAAAACCUAGAAUGAUCAGUAAGUGUUUGUAGAGCUUUUGUUUUUUUCCGUAUUCUGCUGUAAAAAACAAAUACCUAUGUGUGUGCGCACAUAAUGAUACACAUUAUAUAAGAAAAGCAAAUUUAUUUAGCCACAUGAAUCCUUUUGUAGUCAUAACAAAGAGGGUAUAAGCAUGCUUGCUGGAAUCCCAAGAUUUUCAGAAGUGUAAACAUCUUUGGAAGUAGACACCUAAGAAAGGGACUGAAAACAGUCCACUGAGGGUUAAGCAUGCUCCGUGGGUAUUAAAUGCUGACUAACUAUAGGGGGGAAAUAGAUAACUAGGCUGUGUGUGUAAUGGUGUAUCCUGGAAAAAGACAUAGAUGGUUGGCCGGAAACGUAAAUCCAAGCAUUCCGCACUGAAACAUUAUCUUGCAGAUUCCACUUAUGGAUACUCAUAAUAAACAAAUCAGCUCAUCUGCCCUUAAUAUAUAUUGGGCCAAUUUAACAUUGAUUUACUAUUACUAAUAAUAAUGAUUGCACAAUAAUAUUUUUUCUGAUAUUUAGAAGACUGCAGGUGAAAUGAAAAGUCCCUUGUGGGUAUAGAUAUGAUAUGGUUUGCUGAUGAUAACUGGGCCGUUUUAAGCUUCUGGAACUUAAUCACAUUCCACAUUUAAGAGCCAAGGGACUUAAAGGUCACUCUUAGACUAAACCUUCUUUCUCUGCUCUUGCUAUUAAACCUGACAGGUACUUUCAAACUGCUGUAGCUGUGCUUGCCCAUACACAGUUAUGGAGUUGAGUAGUUAACUGGAUGGCUCCAGAAAAGACGAUGGAUUCUGUGGGGUUCACGGUCUUCUAAACUGAUGAAAAAUGGUACAAUGGGACAGUCCGCUUACACAGAGACCCCUCCUUUUUUUAGCACACAUACUUUUUGUCAGGCUGCCUUAGACCCCUUAUGACAAAUCACUUCAAGCUUCCAUUGGAAGAAAAUAACAUGUUUUAUCACUUGUACACUUGUGUUUGAGUAGUGGGUUCAGGAAAAUGUGCUCUGCUGCGUCAUGAAGAGUGAAGCUUAGAGCAGGGAUGGAGAACCUAUGGCUGUCCUAGGUGUUCUUGGACUACAACUUUGCUAGCUAGGGCUGAUAGGAUUGGGGUCCAACAGCAUCUAGGGGCCAAGUCCUCCAUCCUUGUCCUUGGGUCUUUAUAAUAACUUUAUUGGGAAAGGAUUUGAAGUGCAGCUGGUGUAAGUAUAAAGUGAAGCAAUACUUUUCAGUGCAAAGAAGAAAAUCCAUUAAUAGUAGCAUUGCAACUGGAAAAUAGUCAUGAGGAAGAAGAAAAUGACCCAGGCAAUAGCCUCAAUGUGAUGUAUCCAUUGUGGACCACACACCUUCUGACUGUGCUGGUAGACUGACAAGCCAACCCUGUGUAUACUUAUUUAGAAGUAAGUGCCAGUAUGUUUAGUGGAGCUUAGUUGUAAAUAAGAGUGCAAAGAUUCUUUGCAUAUAGAAUAUUAAUACUCUGAGGAGAAAGCUUGCACAGAAGACUUGUCACUGAUGUAUUGGUUUUGAAUGAGCAGGUUGCUUUAAAAACUACAGAACAUUUAAUUUUACCCCCUACUCCAUGCCUUGCAGGCUGUGCAUUAGUUGUGGCUGUGUUCUGUCUCUAAAGUUUUGACAUAAAUUAUAUACGUUUUUGACAAAUCAAUUUUUAAAUGACAUAUUGGCCAUAUACAAGGGGCUCCUGCUCCUGCUAGCUCCACUCACCAACCAGCACAAAGUAAUUGGGGAACUCUGGUAAAAUCCUUCCCUCUGAUUAGCACCAAUACCAGUCAGUCACCAAAGAGUUCUCCCUACCCUUCCCUUCACUCUGCCACUUUCCUUAUAUAGGAAGCUUGGAGGGAAAUGUUCCAAUUUUUGUAACAUUAUCACCAGUGUUGUUUUUUUGAAUUUCCAACUCCCCAAAGUACUUCAGAGGUCCUUGCUUUGGUUCAAGGUACUUCAGAAGGACCCUGAUUCAUUUUGGACAAGCCCAAAAUCUGUUCAAAGUUGGCUGCUUCAGUUCUGGAUUCAUCCAAAGUCAGUGCACACUCCUAAUAUAUAACAUAAGUCACCAUCUACCGUAUAUACAUGGUGCUGUUAGAAUGGGCAAUAAUGAAAGGCCUGUGCCCCAAGGAGCUUACAAUACAGUAACUUUGCCCUUAGUAAUAUUUAACACAUUUGGCUCCAAAAAGUCAGAUCUUCUAUAAUGUUUUAUGUCAGCUGAGGGAGAAAUAAGUAAUGCUGAAGAGGGGUGUACUAGAAGCGAUUUUUGGGAAGGUAGCCCACAGUUGUCAGAUGAAAAGGCAAGUAUUAGUAAUGAGCUGUGACAAGGAACCAGUUAGCCAAGCAGCAAAAGAUCAUUCUACAGCUUUACAAAGCAUGACUCAUUGUUAUGACAGCAUCUGAAACUAGAUUACAGUACAUCAAAUAAACUAAAAGUAGAAAGAUGCCAUAGGAGCCUUUACCGACAGAAUGAGAAAAUAAUUUAAAAUCUAUAAACUCAAGGAAACGUAUUUUCAAAUUACACACAAGGGCAAUCAUAAAUGAGAGAGUGAUUGGAGCAAGGAUGCUGUUUUUGAGUCCUGUGACAUUUAUUUUCUCAAGUGAUGUUGUCAAGGGUCAGGAAUGAAUGAGUGAAGAUCAAUAUUAUAGAAUUAUGUUCUCUGUAUACUUAGGUGCUUUGGUUUGACAGAUUUUCUGUUUGCCAUAAAAGGUUGUCACAAAUGAGUUUCAUAGUGUAAUGCAGAACACUAAAGGUGGCCUCAAGAUUCAACUUGUAUCUUUAAUUUUGGGAAACAGACUGAUCAGAGGUGCUCUGUGUCUUACUAAUUUGACCCAUUACUGGGGGCUCAAUUAUAUCUGUUAAAAACCAAGUCCCCUCCCCUGUUCACUCAUGUGUGUGCUUUUCACACAAGUGGUUAAAAUUUGAAGGGAGAGCAAAUCUCUAGAAUCUCUAUAACCCCUGCCAAAUUGUGGGCAAAUACAUUCAUUGACCUUGAUGCGGGACAACACAUUUUCUGCCAGAAUUGGAUGCAAUUAGGAGGCUUGGUCACCUUUUCUUUGGGGAUGAAAGCUACCAAAUUUCAGAAUGAUAAAUGAAUUGAUCUCCUACAAGGGCAGACUUUACUGCUUUGGGUGGGUGCAAUAGGGAUCAUAGAGGUGGGAGUGCCAAAAAGAGCACGGGUCUAUGGUUCUCCAGGAAAUAUUGGGGUAUGGGAACUAUCACCAGCACCAGAGUUUGGGGGGAAACAGUCUCUUCUUCUGGGGACUUACAAUGACUUGCAUUGGGGCUGAGGAGGUGGGGUGAAACCAUAAUAGAUCCCAAAGAAAGACUGUUGUCAAAAAAUGGCACCACCACCCCAUAAGCACCCUGUUACCCCAAGCUUUGUUCAUGGGAGGUGGACUUCUGCCAGCCAACAUGGAAUUUUGGAGAUACAGCUUCUCCCUAGAAGGAAACCUCUCAAUUUUCUUGCCCAGGGGAAGGCAUAGAUCUACAUAAAAAACAAACUCAAUUUUAAUCCCAAACCCAAAUUCCACACCCAAAUCACUGUGACAGGAGUGCCCUGGGGAAAUAAUUCAAUGUGAUUAAAACUAGAUCUGUCCAUCAAAAUAGUACAUACACCACACAUACCUCUCUCCCACAUUCUCUUGUGUGCUAUCCAGUGUGGUUUCAUUUCUGUGUGGUAGAGUGGGGUGGGAGGGUUGGGAAGAGUUAUCUGGUUUUUUGGACAGCUGAGGCCACAGAGUAACUCAUGUUCUGACUCAAUAUGUCCUAUUAAUGGCACGGUCCAACAUGGGAACCUUCCCUGAAUCAACCUGUUUUACCUUGCAAUUCAGGGUAGAUGCAGAGCUGAUGGAUAAAUUCUUUUUAAAAAAUGAAAAGCCAGAACCUUUGUGACUUAUGACUUUGCAAUUAUUGCAGGUGAUGAUAAAGCUGCUAAUGAUAUUUGUAUUUGAUGGCUCACUGCAAAGAAGAUAAGUGAGUUUUGCAAUAUCGCUUUUUCCAUCUGUUCUCACAAGUGCAAAUAAAUUAUCUAUUCUUCUGAAAAGAAAUAUAAGAUAAAUGUGAUUUAAAGCAAUUUCCUUGUCAUUAUUGAUUAAGGGCAAUCCGUGUUAGUCUUCAGAGGAAUGGAAUUUAUUUCUUCACAUAAUGAAACAGAAAAGGCUUGUCAUAGUAAAAGAAACAUAAUUAUUACCUAAUUUGUGUGUUUGAAAACAACUUGGCACUCUUUUGUGUGGACAAGUAAAAUAAUUUUCCCAAUGUUCUUUCAGUUAACUGAUAUUAGCCAAACAUUUGUAAUAGGUGUGUAUUUCAAAGACAAAAAACAAGGAAUAUCUGUGAGUUUAUUCCUCAAAUUUUAUACCUUCUGAAAAAGAAGAACUUCCAAAUUAGUCAUUUAUACUACAAGAAGUACACAUUUUAUGGGGACACGUGUGUGAGAGUGCACGCACGCAACACAAGAAUGGGUCUUUUUUUGCAGUGCCUCCCCAUUAGUGGAAUGCUGCCCCCAGGGAGGCAUGCCUGGUGCCAUCACUAAAUAUAUUUAGAUGCCAGUAUAUCUGAAGGAGCGUCUCCACCCCCAUCGUUCUGCCCGGACACUGAGGUCCAGCUCCGAGGGCCUUCUGGCGGUUCCCUCACUGCGAGAGGCCAAGUUACAGGGAACCAGGCAGAGGGCCUUCUCGGUAGUGGCGCCCGCCCUGUGGAACGCCCUCCCAUCAGAUGUCAAAGCGAUAAACAACUAACUGACAUUCAGAAGACAUCUGAAGGCAGCCCUGUUCAGGGAAGUUUUUAAUAUGUGACAUUUUAGUGUAUUUUUCAUCUUUGUUGGAAGCUGCCCAGAGUGGCUGGGGAAACCCAGCCAGAUGGGCGGGGUACAAAUAAAUUAUUAUUAUUAUUAUUAUUAUUAUUAUUAUUAUUAUUAUUAUAUGCCGGGCAAAAACAGUGCAAGGGGCUUUGUCAGUGCUAUGCUCAGCAAAGCACCAAGCAUAGAAUUUGCAGAGAUGUUUUCUGCAGGGAUUGACUGCAUGAUCAGGUUCCCUGUAGGGACCUUUGUGCAGCCAGUCCAGCAGGAUUGAAUUUGCUGCCCCCAUCUGUCGGUGGUGAGUUCAACCCUGCUUUCUGCAGGGAAUGGUAGUGCUAUCAAGUUCCCCAUGGGGAACUCAGUUGUGCAGCCAAUGCAUGUGCGCAUACACACCCCCACCCCCACCCAGAACUUCCACAGAACCUUUGCAAACAAACAAUUCACCAAAGGACUGUGUGGGAAGCUUUUGACUUUAGAAAUACUGGUUGCAGUGGGUAGGGGGAAGUUGCAGAAUUUUACCAGUGCUGCUGAUUAUUUUCCCAACUAAAUAUGGUACAGUAGAGCUUAAAUAUCAAUCCAGUAAUGCAGACCUUGUAGUGGAAGGAACACACCCACAGAACCUCGUUCCUCAUUAGUAUUGGAUUAAUGAACCAUGAAAUUGAGAACUUCCAACUUGCCAUUCAUGAUGUGUUCUCAGCUGGGGCUACUAUAACAUUCUACAGCAACUGUAAAAUUUAUGUAGCAUACAUAAGCAUGCUACCAAAGGUGGAACCUCCUGUGAAACCUUCUGCCUUCAUUGCAGCAUUGUAAAUUGCUACAAUAUUUUACAGUAUCCUAAGCCAUGGCUUUAUUUUUCUUUCAGCUUCAGAAAUGGAGGACCCUAUUUGAAGAGGACCCAACCUGACCCAACCUUACUUGUGCUUCUCCCCUAAAGACUCUGGCGUUGCUGCUGCUUCCUUGUCAGGAUGGCUGAAAGGGCUCCUCCAGGGAUAAACAAAAAAUCUUCAAGGUCUACCCAGUCCCUUCCACCAGAACCAGUGGAAAUAAUCCGGAGCAAAGCAUGUUCAAGGAGAGUCAAAAUCAAUGUAGGGGGGCUCAACCAUGAAGUUCUAUGGAGGACUUUAGAUAGACUUCCACGAACACGCUUAGGGAAGCUUAGAGACUGCAAUACAAACGAAUGCUUACUAGAAGUAUGUGAUGACUAUAAUCUCAGUGAGAAUGAAUAUUUCUUUGAUAGACACCCGGGUGCUUUCACCUCCAUUUUGAAUUUCUACAGGACGGGGAAGCUACACAUGAUGGAGGAAAUGUGUGCCCUCUCUUUUGGCCAAGAGCUAGACUACUGGGGGAUUGAUGAGAUAUACUUAGAAUCUUGUUGCCAGGCAAGAUACCAUCAGAAGAAAGAGCAAAUGAAUGAAGAGCUAAGGAGAGAGGCAGAGACACUGAGAGAAAGAGAAGGGGAAGAGUUUGACAAUGCCUGCUGCCCAGAGAAAAGGAAAAAACUAUGGGACUUGCUGGAGAAACCCAACUCAUCAGUUGCUGCAAAGGUAAGAUAAUGGAUGGUGGUUAAAGAGUCACCAAAAAUGUUUAGAAUAUUUGCUUAGGUUACAUGUUAUGUCUUGAUAACAUUCACAGAAAAAUUUGUGGAAACAAUUUUAGGUGGGUUUUGUUUUUUUUAAAUAACAACCCUACAGCCUAAUAUAGGCUUAGCUUGUGAGUUUUCCUGUUUUUUCAUCUGUGGGAGAAAUCCAAAGGACUGUGUGGUGAGUCCCAUGUGCUCUGGUGUACUUUUGAGACUCUCUGUUCCAACUGAUUUUCUCCAUAAUUUAUGCCAUGCUACCUCCUAAAGUUGGAGGACCUCAGGAAGUUUUCUUCCAUGCAGUAUAAGCAAUUGUGAUCUAUUAAAGAAAAAUAGGGGGAUCUUGCCUUGUGUGGAUCUAUGGGGAACAGGAUCCUGGUAGUAUUCAUUGGUCAAACUAAUGCUCAGUGCUUGUGUGUGUGUGUUUUAGAAAUACUCCAAUCUUAUGCACACUUAUGCACACUGCGAGUAAAUCCCACUUAACAUAUUAGGGCUUACUUCCACAUAAAUGUACAUAACUUUGCUUUGUUCUUUCUCAUUUUUUUCCUUGGGUGCUGGGUGGAAUGUAGGGUGCAGUUUAUAUAAUUAUGCAUCACCAAGCUAUUUCUGAGAUAUUAACAAAACAAUCCUGUAGAUCCCUAUGCAGAAGUAAGUUCUACUGAUGUCUGUGGGGCUUACUCCCGAAUAAGUAGGUAUAGGAUUGCAGACUAAUUGGCAAAGUGCUUUUGAAGAAAUGGCAAUUUUUGAAAAUGAAGACUAACCAUUUAUUGUCAGAAUGGAACUUUUGAUUCCUACUACUCUUGACUAUACAUUCCAUAGAAGAAUCGGGAAUUUCUUUCUUUUCUUUUUUUCGUAUUUGUCUCUCAGCUGCUAAGUUUGUCUCAGCUGCUAAUUUUAAAUUUCAUACGCCUACGCAUGAACUAGCACCUAUUUCCACCUAGGCUGCUUUUUGGAAUGUCUUCUGCCAAACUGGCUUUAGUUAGUGGGUGCACUGCUUAUAUAAUCUAUGUGUGAAAGACAUAAAUAAAUAUAUAAUCUAUGUGUGAAAGACAUAAAUAUAUUAUGGUUGAUUUGUGUGUGGAAAUAAAGAAAAACUGGAUAUUUUCAUUUAUGGGGAAGGUUUGAACAUUAAAUCUGAGUGUUAGGAUGGGGGACAAUUUUUAUCACUGUCUCCCAUGGCUGCCAAAAAUCCCAGGAGAGCAAGGGAGGGAGUGUAGUGGCAAUGGUGAAAUGAGCAAGAACUGCCUGUCCCACCUCACUCCUCCCAGCAGGAGCUUCCACUGGAUCAAAUGCCCUUUGAUGAACAGAAGGGUAAUUCAGGAUCCAAGCCAAUUCCUGAAUCCACUCAAAGAUUAUUCAUGUAUUUGAUGAAAUUUUAUUACAAAAAAUGUUAGGGAAUAUGCCUAACAAAAGCUGCACAGUGCUGAAAUUGCCAUACAUUCUGAUAGGAGUUCAAAAUAUUAAAGUAGACCUACAGGCUUUAAUGGAGUCACCCUGCACUAUAUGAGUUCAGGCUUUUGUGUUUCAAAUGGAUAACCCGCCGUUCUGGCCCAAAAAUACUUCCAAAUCCUAUUUCAUGACUUAAUUUAAUUCAUACAUACAUAAGAAAGCACUCCUCACAUUAGAAUAUAUUAUGGCUCUUCUUUAAAGCUCUUAUGAAUUGGACCCUCAAGCUCACAUUCUGCCCCUUUGGUCCAGUAUCUCCAUGCAUCUGAUUCCUAGUCUAUUAUCUGGAAGCAACAGGUGCCCGGGUUGUUUUUGUAGUGCAUGAUCUGCCUGUGUUUGCUCUGUCUGUUCAAACAGAAUUGCAACUGCCGCCUGCGCUGAGGCAGAAUCCCAGCAGCAGUGUGUCACUAACUAGCUGUGUGCUCAAGAUCCCAGAGACCCGUCUGGAGGAGAUGGGGCAUGUCAUUGAGCUGCCACAUUGCAUCCUUAGAGAGCAUGGGAUAGAUCAGAAGCUUUCUGUGGCUCACUGAUCCUCAACCUACUGGUGUCAGGUUUGCAGAAUACAGCUGGCCUGCCUUCUGUCUCGGGAAUUACUUUGGAUUAAAUAAUCAUUGUACGGAAAAGUACAUGCUUUUAUUUUUAUACAACUUCAUUGAUGAAAUCCAGUAGUGUCCAUCUGCCAGUGCAAUGGACCCUGUUGGUGGAAUAGAUUGUCUCUUCCCUUGGAGGACCUCAUGGAGCAAAUUUGCUGGAUUCAGGGAGGUGGAAGGGGGAGAGAAGGAGAAGUCCCAUUCUACUCAUGUAUCAUUGGACGUCACCCAGUAUCACCAUGCUUACUCUCAUUUUGGGAAAUUGUAUGCAACAAAAUUUUACUCAGAGUAAACCCAUUGGAAUUAAUUGACCUGGGUUAGUUCAUUAACUUCAAUAGGUCUCCUCUGAGUAGGACUAGCAUUGGGUUCAAUCCAUGAACUGCAAUCUACAGAGCAAAGUGGUUUUGACAUUUGCAAUAUGUCUGCACCAAAAUCACACAAUUGUAGAAUUGACAGGGGCCCCAUGCUCAUGUAGUGUAGCCCCCUGCUAUGUACAAAUCACAGCUAAAGAAUUCCUGACAGAUGGCCAUCCAACCUCUGUUUACAAACCUUUGAUGGAGAGUCCACCACCUUCUGAGGGAGUCCGUUCCAUUGUCAUAACAGCUCUUAAAGUAAAGAACUCUGGGAAUUGUAGUGAAGGAUGCUAAGAGUAUGCUGUUGAAAUUUGAUCCAUCCACACAGAACCACAGUUCUCAGGAUUCCCUGUGAAGAUGGAAUGUCCCUGAAACCUGUUUAAGUCUAGAAUGUAAACACAAUCUUACAACUGUUUGAAAAAGUAGAAAGAUGUUGGCUGGGAAGGUGUAUCGGACUCCUCCUUACUGUCUAACUGGCUUACAGUGAAGGAAAACUGCACUGUGUUGUGCAUACAAUUUAUGAGAGCUUGCACAUAUUCCCACAUGUGCUGCUCAGUGUACUCUGAAAAGUGAGAUUAGGACUGAUCUCUGGGACGUCACCAAAAUUUUUGAUCUGCUCCAAUAAUUCAUCACUCAAAAAGAUGGAGAAGUGGUGUGGUGGCUUGCAAAUCUAAAACAAAUCUUUGCUACUGGAAUGUUUAUUUGAUAUUUAUACACAAAUUUAUAAACACCCCACUUCAAGCAGCUUAC